rnacentral:lncRNA from 1 species
GUAGUGGGCCAUUCGUGGCCACGCGGAGUUUGUUAUGGAGAGUAGUGGCGUCAGUGGGCCAUUCAGAGCCAUGUGGAGUUUGUUAUAGAGAGUGGAGUGGUAUCCAUUAUCGCGACUUGCCAAAGAGUGGUGGGGCCACGUAGAAUCUAUUACAGAGAGUGGAGUGGGGUAGUGGCCAUUGUCAUGACUUGCCAGAGAGUUCGGGCCUGACGGCUGAAGCUCGACUGGGAUGUCUGAUGGA